GACGAACGCUGGCGGCGUGCUUAACACAUGCAAGUCGAACGGAAAGGCCUCUUUCGGGGGGUACUCGAGUGGCGAACGGGUGAGUAACACGUGAGUAACCUGCCCUUGACUUUGGGAUAACUUCAGGAAACUGGGGCUAAUACCGGAUAGGAGCUCCUGCUGCAUGGUGGGGGUUGGAAAGUUUCGGCGGUUGGGGAUGGACUCGCGGCUUAUCAGCUUGUUGGUGGGGUAGUGGCUUACCAAGGCUUUGACGGGUAGCCGGCCUGAGAGGGUGACCGGCCACAUUGGGACUGAGAUACGGCCCAGACUCCUACGGAAGGCAGCAGUGGGGAAUAUUGCACAAUGGGUGGAAGCCUGAUGCAGCAACGCCGGGUGCGGGAUGACGGCCUUCGGGUUGUAAACCGCUUUCGCUCAUGACGAAGCUUUGUGUGACGGUAGUGGGUAAAGAAGCACCGGCUAACUACGUG
rnacentral:rRNA from 1 species